AAAGGAAUAGACGGGGACCCGCACAAGCAGUGGAGUAUGUGGUUUAAUUCGACGCAACGCGAAGAACCUUACCAAGGCUUGACAUCCUCUGAUCGCUGUAGAAAUACAGUUUUCCCUUCGGGGACAGAGAGACAGGUGGUGCAUGGUUGUCGUCAGCUCGUGUCGUGAGAUGUUGGGUUAAGUCCCGCAACGAGCGCAACCCCUACGGUCUGUUGCCAUCAUUAAGUUGGGCACUCAGGCAGGACUGCCGUUGACAAAACGGAGGAAGGUGGGGACGACGUCAAAUCAUCAUGCCCCUUAUGUCUUGGGCUACGCACGUACUACAAUGGCUGCGACAGAGGGCAGCGACACCGCGAGGUGGAGCGAAUCCCAAAACGCAGUCCCAGUUCGGAUUGCAGGCUGAAACUCGCCUGCAUGAAGCAGGAAUUGCUAGUAAUGGCAGGUCAGCAUACUGCCGUGAAUACGUUCCCGGGUCUUGUACACACCGCCCGU
rnacentral:rRNA from 1 species